GGGGAGGUGCCCGAGCUGGCCAAUGGGGGCGGACUGUAAAUCCGCUGCGUUACGCUACAGAGGUUCGAAUCCUCUCCUCCCCACCA
rnacentral:tRNA from 3 species